AUGGCUGCCAGUCCACGAUGUCUAUUUGCCAUCUGGCGGCCAGCGUUAGGAAGUGCAGGUCGACACCUGCUCCUCUGGGACUCUGGCUUUGCCCUCCAUCAAAUCGCGCUCUUCCAGGUAGCAAUAAGAAGGUGGGGAGGAGUCAUCAGACUUUCAGCGGGAUCACCCAGAAGCCACCACUGGCAGAGACGCCAGCACCAACCGUAUGGGGCCAUGCAGGGGCGCCUUCAGACGCUCCAUCCCAGCUCUUGGCAAGGAGAGGUGGAGAAGGGAACGGGCCGGCUCGGCCCUCCUUCAAGGGGUUCAGAAAUACUUUGGGGGCAAAUCGAUGGUCCCACCAGCCCCCAGCCUCCAGGGAGCGGGGUCCCGGCCAAAGGGCCCCUUUCUGGGUUCCCAGGCUCAGAGCGAGCUGCUGGGGCUCCCAUAGAAUUUCUCCUGGGCAGCCAUCAUGGGCUCAGACGGGGCCAUCUUUUGGAUCUCUUCCAGCGUGGCCCUCCUAGGGGCCAAGAUCGGCUCAGACAUUUACGCUCUACGGAUGUUCUAGCUUUAUAUCCCAAGACAAUGCCUUCCACCAUGUUCUGGGCCCCAAAUUCCCUUCCAGCUCUGAUAACGUCGUCUCAAUCUGAGAAUCCACAGUCUAAGGUCUUUCCAGGCCUGACCAUCUAUGCUCCCAUGUUCCUUCCAGCUCCAACAUUCUACUUAACAAAGCAACAACACUUAGAACUGAUACCGUGCCUUGGUUCCGAGGCAGAGGAGCAGAAGGGCUGGGCCAUGGGGGUGAAGGGACUUGCCCAGGGUCACACAGCUAGGAAGUGUCUGAGGUCAGAUUUGAACCCCGGACCUGCUGCCUCUAGUCCUGGCUCUCAAGGCACAGGGCCACCCAGCUGUCAGCAUUCUACCUCGUUCCAACAUUCAGUCUUCUAAGGGCCUCCCAGCUCUAACAUGCUGUGUUGGCAACUCGACUCCAGCUCGGAAAGCCUCCAUUCUCAGGUUGCUUCCAGCAUGACUCCUCUUCCCUUCUAGCUGACGUUCUAGGUUCCAGUUCUAGAUUCCACCAUCCCUUCGGGCUUUGAGAAUGGGUGUCCAAACGCCCGAGGGCUCAUCCAGGUCUCCUGGGCUCCAGCUGGAGCCGGACCUUUCCUGUCCUGGCUCAAAGCUGACACCCAAUUCGGCCCAAUGGGAGGGGGCGACAUGGGGGAGGCCCCUGGGGAAGGCAUGGAAGGGAGCGAUGAGGGGCUGAAAGAACAGAGGAGGACCUAGAGGGCAGGAGAGGUCCGGAGCCCGGCAGGGGCGAGCGCGUUUUCCCAGUGAGAAUGAAGGCGAUGAGAUUUUGGAAGGCGGCGGGGGGGGGGGGGGGCAAUUUGGGACCCCUUGGACAACCAAAAAAGGGGGGGCAGGGCCCCGUUUAAAGCUCCCGGGAUGGAACCAGGCCUUCUCCCGCACUUUUUUUCCCUUUUAAAGGCAGUGGCUGGGACCCCCCCACUUAUGUAUUUACUUUUUGAUUUUCCCAACCUUAUUUGCCCUCUUGGAAUUAAAACUGUGUUUUGGUUCCCAGGCAAAAAAAUGGAAAAGGCUAAACAAUUUAAGUCAAAUGACUUUCCCCGGGGCCCUCCCCUAGGA
ensembl:lncRNA